rnacentral:rRNA from 1 species
UACGUAGGUGGCAAGCGUUGUCCGGAUUUACUGGGCGUAAAGAGCGCGCAGGCGGUCGUACAAGUCGCGUGUGAAAGCCCCCGGCUUAACUGGGGAGGGUCACGCGAUACUGUUCGACUCGAAGGCAGGAGAGGGAAGCGGAAUUCCCGGUGUAGUGGUGAAAUGCGUAGAUAUCGGGAGGAACACCAGUGGCGAAGGCGGCUUCCUGGCCUGUUCUUGACGCUGAGGCGCGAAAGCUAGGGUAGCAAACGGG